CAUAAAUGUAAGGAUUUAUUUUUGUCCAUUAUAUUCUAUUCUGUUGAUCAAUAUGUAAAUCCUUAUACAAGUACCAUAAAUCUUGAUUUGUAUUCUUUUGUAUUAACAGUAAGUUUUUCUUUUUUUUUCUUUUUUUCAGGACAGAGUCUUGCUGUGUCUCCCAGGCUGGAAUGCAGUGGUGCAGUCUUGGCUCACUGCAACCUCCACCUCCUGUGUUCAAGCAAUUCUUGCGCAAGCAAUUCUCGUGCCUCAGCCUCCCGAGUAGCUGGAAUUACAGGCAUGCGCCACCAUGCCCAAUUUUUGGAUUUUUAGUAGAGAUGGGGUUUCAUCAUGUUGGCCAGGCUGGUCUCAAACUCCUGACCUCAAGUGCUCUGCCCACCUCAGCCUCCAAAAGUGCUGGGAUUACAGGCAUUGAGCCACUGUGCCGGACUGUAUUAAUAGUUAAGUUUUGAAAUCAGGAAGUAGAUGUCUACAAUUCCAACCUUUUGCCUCUUAUUCGAGAUUAUUUAGGCUGCUGUGGGUCUAUUGCAUUGCAUAUGAACUUUAAAAUAACCUUGUUAAUUUAGGGGAAGGAAAUAUCACCUGGGAUUUUGGUAGAUGUUGCAUUCAAUCUAUAGAUCUAUUUGGAAAAUAGUGCCAUCCUAACAGUACUAAUCCUUCUAAGCAAUGAACAUUCAAAUAUUUUCUAUUUAUUUAAUUUUCUUCAAUAUGUUUUCUAGUUUUUGUGUACAUGUCUUACACUUAAUUUGAUAAACAUGCCUAUUUUCGAUGCCAUCUCAAGUGGAAUGGUUUUCUGAGUUUUGUUUUUAGGUUGUUAAUUGCUAGUGUAUAGAAAUUCAAAGGAUUUUAUAUGUUGACCGUAUAUACUGUAAGUUUGUUACUCAUCUUUAAGGUUUAAAUAUAUUUUAUUAGAGUCCUUUGGAUUUUUUUAUACAUAAGAUUAUGUCAUUUGCAAACAAGAGUUUGACUUCCCUUAUCUGCCUUAUUUGCUGCAUGUUUUUUUUUGUUUUUGUUUUUGUUUUUGUUUUUUGAGAAGGAGUCUCGCUCUGUCACCCAGGCUGGAGUGCAGUGACGCAAUCUUGGCUCACUACAAGCUCUGCCUCCCGGGUUCACGCCAUUCUACUGCCUCAGCCUCCCGAGUAGCUGGGACUACAGGUGCCCGCCACCACGCCUGGCUAAUUUUUUUUUGGUACUUUUAGUCGAGACAGAGUUUCACCGUGUUAGCCAGGAUGGUCUCGAUCUCCUGACCUCGUGAUCUGCCUAUCUCGGCCUCCCAAAGUGCUGGGAUUACAGGUGUGAGCCACUGCGCCUGGCCUGCUGCAUGUUUUUAUCAUAGUGAGUUCAGGAAUUCUCAGGUGUUGCUGCAUCUUUUGAGAUGACUAUGUGGUUUUGUUUUUUAUCAUAUUAAUAUAGUGCAUGGCAUUAAUUGUACUUGAAUGUUGAACCAAAUGUUGCUUUCCUGAGGUAAAUACCCUUGACAUAUUUUAUAAUACUUUUUACAUGUUGCUGAUUUGUUUUACUAGGAUUUCCUUGAUGAUUUUUGGCUCUAUAUUCGUAAGGUGUGUUCUUAAUUUUCAUUAUUUGAAAUCUGUUUGUCUAGUUGCGGUAUCAGGGUAAACCAACUCACAGUAUAAAUGAAAUGCGAUGCCUUCUCCACUUUGUUGUUGUUGUUUUUAACAACUUAUUAUAAAUUAAUAUUAAUUGUUAAGUGAUUCCAAUAACUGACUAAUGAAUUAUCUUGACUGGGGCAAGGAAGCAAAUCCUAGGAACAAUCACGUGAGCUUGGAAGGAGACCUUUCCCCAGCUGAGCCUCAGCCUGGGCCAUCACCUGCAUCUGGACUGAAGACCCAAAGAAACUACUCCAUCAGGAAUUGUUUGAGACCAUGCAUUAUGUGGACACUCAUAUCGUGGAAUUAUAUUGCCAAUUGGCAUUCCUAAAGCUUCUACGCUAGCAGGUUUGGAGUAAUUCACCAGUGAAGUCUUCUCAACCUGGGCAAUCAUGUGAGCUUGGAAGAUGAUGCAUCCCCAUCUCAUCUUUCAGGUGAAACCUCAGCCUUGGCCAUCACCUACAUCUGGAUUUCUGACCCAGAGAAACUUUGGUGUACUGUGGUUUCUGUAUUAAGGUCUGGUCUACAGAGAAGAGAGAUCAGGGAGCUCUUCAGUUGUACCCAGCCUCCCCACACAAAUCUACCUAACAAAGUCCUGAUAAACAGUAUGUUUUCUGGAGUCUAUCAAUAUGGGUAAGUUGCAUUUAUUUUUUUAUUUAUUUAGAAACAGAGUCUCACUUUUUUUGCCCAGGCUGGAGUACAGUGGCAUGAUUUCAGCUUACCGCAAACUCUGCCUCCUGGAUUCAAACCAUCCUCCGGCCUCAGCCUCCUGAGUAGCUGGGGCAACAGGUG
rnacentral:lncRNA from 1 species